CUUUGACCCCUCUCUCUCUCAGUUUCUCUGUGCAUCUCUUCCUCGUCGAACACAUUGGAGCUCUGAUUCUUCAUUUCUGAGAGAAACAAAUCUCACCAUAGAUGGAUAACUCUCUCUUCUUCCUAAUUUGUCUAUAGCCUUUUCUUUUUGCCAUAUCUAUAUGCUCUAUGCAGAUCAUAAUGUGACGGUGGCUUUCUCCUAUAUGGUUUUCCCGUUGUCUCUCCCUAAACCUCCAACCUAGCCGCUGUCCCUAGAGCCUCCGACCCCCUCCAUGAUGCCAUUGUCGCGAACGACGAGUUGUGCGUCGCGCCCUUCAUCAAUGGCGGAGUCUCUGGUAUGCUCGCUACCUCUGUCAUCCAACCCAUCGAUACGAUCAAGUGUUGAGAAGGCUGGGAGUGAAGAGCAUGGAGAUAAAGAAACCAGAACAGCUUGAAACCGUGGCCUCACUCAUAAUCCCUGUAGGAGAGAGCACCACCAUGGCUAAGCUCGCCAAGUACCACAACCUGAAUGCAUUUGAGCUCGCCUUUUUCAUUUAGGUUCCAGCCCAAUUCGAAGUAAAAUUGUGCUACCGCGAGCACACCGUUGUCAUUGUUACAAGAGUUUUCUUAGCAUAAGAGGUGACCACCCAAGUCCUCUGCAGCUACAUUACUCUUCCUUGUAACACAGAGUAUGAUGCUGAUGAUAAACCCCAAGAAGAAACUGUCAACCCUAUGGUCGAUGGUGGGACUGAAGAUUUUCAAGGACAUGCCAGGGUCAUUAUGCCAGGGAUCAGUCCAUGCAUGCUUUGAGUGUACAAUCUGGCUUUUCCCCCCUCAAGUGAAGUUCCCUUUAUGCACACUUGCAGAAAUCCCUAGAACUGCUGCUCAUUGUAUUGAAUAUGCUCACCUAAUUAAAUGGGAUGAGGUACAUAGCGGAGAGGCUUUUGAUCCAGAUGACCCUGAACAUAUAAAGUGGGUGUAUGAUGAGGUCAAUUAUGGCAAUUAUUUAGUGAUUUAUCUGUUCCUUUUAUGGACCUUUAAUUAUGUUCCUUUCAUUUAUUUAUUUAUUUACUAAUUUGUUUUUUGUUCCCAUCCAAUAGUCUAACAAGAGAGCUGAGCUGUUUGGUAUUCAAGAGUUACAUUGUCUCUCACUCAGGUAUACAUACUUAUAGAAGUAGUUACCCCUAUUAUUAUUUUCGUCAAGUUUCUCUGCAACAUAACUGCAUAGUUUGGCUUUUGCUGUUAAAUCAUGUGGAUGAGAAAAGGAUUUAGGACUUUGAAACUAUGGGUAACUAAGCUUUUGGCUUACAUCUUUUGAACUUUUAUCUGUCACUCUUGUUGGAAGCUGAUUAUGUUGUCUAAAUGGGGUUCUGAAGAACAUCAUACAGGCUAUUGCUUCCACAAAUGCUAUUAUAUCAGCUACCUGUGCGCUACAAUAUUGAAGAUUGCAUCUGGAUGCAGUAAAACUCUAUCGAACUAUCUAACGUGUGUUCCUCUUUCUCAUCAAUAACUACACUAAAUAUCCUUAGAAAUCCUUUCCUAGAUGUCAUAAACCAUUUUUUGGUUGCAUAACAGAUGCAUUGGAUUAUCAUUUUCUAUGUAUGAGCACAACAUUAGAUCCAAUCGUUUACUUGUUUGGGAAGGCAGUAUAACACUCUAUCUCUAUUAGAAAUACUUAGCACACCUAUUAUUAUACUAGCAGAACAUAUUCUAGGUCCUGGCACAAAGGAAAUCAGAAGUGGAAAUACUUCCAGUUGUGUGUCUAAUUUCUGUUCACAGUUCUGAUCUUAUUUGUUCCUCCAAUUUCUUAUUCGUACCUAAUAGCAAGUGUGGUCUCUGCAUGUUAAUAUGAAGUGUUGGUGCAAAAGGUGAGAAUUCUCACUAAGGAAUCAAUUCCCACCAAGUUUUCGUAAUCUGUAUGUGUCAUAUAUAAGCAGUUAGUUAUUCCAUUCUAAUGAAAAAAUGUUUGAUUCACCAUUGCAUUCCAACCUCAUUUAUGCCGCCUCUAUGGACGAUUUAUCUCAGUUAAAUAUUGAUAGAAGCAUUUUUAUACAACAUUUUAAUAAUUAUUUCCUCAUAUUUUACUUAGUUAUUUCCUUAAAUAAAUAAAUUUUAAUUUAAUU